CUUCUGAGGUAAUGGGAUAGACCCGAAGCUAGCUAGCUAACACACAAGGAUGGAAAUGCCCAACAAAAAGCUCUAAAAGCGUGGAGUCUAUUGGGGGGACUAUGUUUCAUGAAGCCAUUAGAAGACUGUUGCUCACUGAGAGGAGUCAGGCAACAACCCAUACUGUACUGGUGGUAGGUAGCCCAGAGGCUAAGGAUUUGGACCUGUGGCAGGAGAUGGACCUGUGUCCGGUUUGAAUUCCGGGCCGGGCACUGGAAAAACGGGCAGAAUUGAUCUGACAACUGGAGGGCUGCUGGGUUCACAUCCUCAAAACAUUCCCCUACUGUUGGGCCCUUGACCAAAGCCCUUAACCCCAUAACAUGCUCUCCAUCCAGGUGUGCUGCACUGCAGCUUGAACCUGUGCUCAACUGUAUGUGUGAGGUCUGCUGUUUGGGGGGUUGAGCACAGAGCAGAAGACACAUUUUUGUUGUUUGCUGUAACUAACAGAGAAAGUUGUAUUGUAAAGAAGUCAGCCAGAGUUGACAUGGUCCACCGUUCAAGCAAAUAGAUGCCUCCCUGGCCACCAGUGCAUAUUUCCAAACUAUGUUUGCAUAUAAUAACAAUACAUUCUAAAAACUAUGCUGGUAAUUAUUAUUUACUUGUUUAUUACAAAAUAUUCUUAGCUAAAAAUAUUACUAUUUAAUAGUAGUAGCCAUAAUUCAUAAAUGGCACCAUGCAGGGUUCUAUGUGGAACCAUUUUGGUUCAGUGAAAAAUAACCUCUAGGGUUUUUUAUAACUUUUAGGGAUUCCGUAUAUGAAGCAAGCGAUAGAACCCUUUUUGGUUUUAUAAGGAACCUUCUUUUCUAAGAGUAUGGCUAAUAAAUGAGGAUGCUUAGGAAGGAGACAGAGAGCAAAUCCCCUCCAUAAGUGGUAUCAGCUAUCAGGCAAAUGGGCAGACAAUGGUUCCUAGUUGGUGCCUGGCUUGCCUAGUCAAAUUGAAGUAUCAUUGACAAAUCUUUACACUGCAUAUCUGCUAAUCAUUCUCUACCUUUCACUGGUGAACAAAGUCUCUUGGGGUCAAAUUAAGUGUACAUGAGCCUACCUCAUUAAGUCAAUUACAUUACAAUUACAUCUGAAUAAGUGAGCCUGACCCAGGGUAGACAUACAGGCAGCUAGUAAUGGUUGAUUUUUAGUAAACAAGGAAGUCUUUUGUUUUUAUUUGACCAUUUCAAUUAUCCAUCUCUCUCCAUCCCUCUCCCUCCUGGUACAGACAGACUACUGGAGCUUCCCAGAAACAGUAAUCACAUUCACUAUUAAUGAGACACGUUCAUUCUGGACCCAUUUACUGCUCUUAAUAAUGCAUACUCUCUGGAAUUGUCUGUGGGUAUAUUACACUGUGCAUAUCAAACACACACUCACACUCUCCAUGUCCUCCUGUAAGAGAGAUAUCUGGUGGUUCGGUCAUGUUGUCUGUCUGGCCUCAGGCUUAAUACUCUCCAGGAAAAUAUGAGAAUGUAUUAUGGGGGGGGGGGGGGUCUCAGGGGUUGUUUAAGAAGCUAAAAGACACAAUUACAUCUCUACAAAUGGACA
rnacentral:lncRNA from 1 species